CAGCAGCCGCGGGAAUACGAAGGGGGCUAGCGUUGCUCGGAAUGACUGGGCGUAAAGGGCGCGUAGGCGGAUUGUUUAGUUAGGCGUGAAAUUCCUGGGCUUAACCUGGGGACUGCGCUUAAUACAGGCAGUCUAGAGUGAGGAAGAGGGUCGUGGAAUUCCCAGUGUAGAGGUGAAAUUCGUAGAUAUUGGGAAGAACACCGGUGGCGAAGGCGGCAACCUGGUCCUUGACUGACGCUGAGGCGCGAAAGCGUGGGGAGCAAACAGGAUUAGAUACCCCUGUAGUCCCUGUCUCUUAUAC
rnacentral:rRNA from 1 species